GACGAACGCUGGCGGCGUGCUUAACACAUGCAAGUCGAGCGGAAAGGCCACUUCGGUGGUACUCGAGCGGCGAACGGGUGAGUAACACGUGAGUAAUCUGCCCUUGGCUUUGGGAUAGCCACCGGAAACGGUGAUUAAUACCGGAUAUGACCAUGUCACGCAUGUGGUGGGGUGGAAAGUUUUUCGGCCAGGGAUGUGCUCGCGGCCUAUCAGCUUGAUGGUGAGGUAAUGGCUCACCAUGGCUUCGACGGGUAGCCGGCCUGAGAGGGUGACCGGUCACACUGGGACUGAGACACGGCCCAGACUCCUACGGGAGGCAGCAGUGGGGAAUAUUGGACAAUGGGCGGAAGCCUGAUCCAGCAACGCCGCGUGAGGGAUGACGGCCUUCGGGUUGUAAACCUCUUUCAGCAGGGACGAAGCGUGAGUGACGGUACCUGCAGAAGAAGCACCGGCCAACUACGUGCCAGCAGCCGCCGCAGUAA
rnacentral:rRNA from 1 species